ensembl:lncRNA
GAAGGGUAUUUAUUGAUUCACAUAACUGAAAAGUCCAGGGGAUAUACUAGCUUCAGGCACGGUUUGAUCCAGGGGCACAAACGUUGUCAUCAGGACUCAAGUCUCUCCAUCAUUUGGCUCCAUUUUCCUCUAUACUGGCUUCAUUCUCCGACUGGCUCAUUUGAUAUGUUGGGCCCUGUUGGUUUGAGCUUUUCAUCCUACAGAGCUAAGCAUUCUCAGUAAAGAGCUUCUCUUCCGUAGUUCACUAAAACUCUUAGGGUUGAGAAUCACUGGACCAACUUGAAUCACAUGACCAAUCCUGCAUCAAUCACUAUGGUCAAGGAGAUGGACUGUGCUGAUUGAUCAGGUCUGAAUUACGUGUCCAUCCAUGAAACCUAAGAUUAGGUCAGACUGAACCAUGUGGACUGAAGAAAGGGAGAAGGGGUUCGAAGAAACAUCAGGGAGUCGUUACAAAGGAAUGGAAUGGAGGCUGGUCAAUCAAAAACAACUGAUGUCAGUGGUAAGACCAGAUACUGAAAAAGUUUAAUCUGUGCUCAUAAAGUUGAAUGGUAACCACUGGCAUUGUUCCUUCCUUGAUGAUAAAAGUAUUCUCGAAAAAAUCAUGAGUAGUAAGUUUGUCUUCUACUCAGGAGGCUUGUAAUCCAUCUGAAUGGAAUAAUCAUGUCCAAUAGCAUAUCUGGAUGAUACAAGAGUUUCAAUGUAAGUAAACUCAGUCGGCAUGAGCCUGAGAGCCCAACUGUCUUGCUGACAUGAAACAGGACAACCAGCCUCCCACUGGCAAAGAGUUCUGUGAGACUUCCUCAAGUCAGUGGUAAAUUUUAAGUUCAGUGUAAAAGUUUUAUGUUCCUUUAAGUCUUUUGCCAAGUUGAACUGGUACGUUUCUGUGAAUACUGUAAAUCAGAUUCAUCUCCGUAUGACCAUAGAAUGGAGGAAUGGACAGUGCUUUCAAUCUGCUCUGCUCCUUCAGAUCUGGCAGAGAAGGUCCCAAGUGCUGAAAAUGAUGAUCUAAUAUAUAUAGGCAUAGAGACUUACUCUGCAGUUAAAAAAAAAAAAAGCUGCUGGUCAAGGAGUAUGUAGCAUGCUCCUUCCUGUUGUGAACAUCAAGUCCUGGAGACUACAGAAGUACAGGUUGCUUCUGUUCAAAACUUCUUGGUGGAAACGGAUAUAAGAUAGCCGAGAUCAGCUGUAGUCUUCUGAAGGACAGUGUCAGAUUGCAGCAAUAUGUCAGAAAGGCAGGCAAUGGCUGAAUCAGGUAAAUAGACAAGUAAGUAAGGUAACUUCAGCAGGGCCAGUCAUAUCAGUAGCCAGGCUAAGAUCUGGAAAAACAGGCAGUUUAACGUUGAAGUUCUGUAAAUUAGCUUUAACCCUGAGUAUUCCAGGGUUAAUCCAUACGGUUUACUCUAGAUACAAUUUUCUGAUCUUAAAGGGCCAGUCAGGUAUAGCAACUUUCACUUUCCUGCUGAUCUGUCCAAGAACUUUCAGCUCAGGAGAAGGGUAUCUCUUAAAUCCAGACUUGAGGUUCUGUUUAGGAGUCUAUGCUACAUCUGGGAGUGAUAGGGUUGGGAGAGCCAGGUUCAUCAAGGUUGGCCCUACUUUCUUUGGUAAUCAAGUCUCCAUCUUCUGUAAUUCAGCUCAUCUCUGAGAAACAUCUUAUCAACAAGUCAAGGCCUCAGACUGGUUGAAUGGUACUGCUGCAAGAUGAGAUCUGAGGCAUGGAGACAGUUACUAGGUUUGAGUUUUAGGCUUUUUCCACCAUCAAUUCUUAUACACAGCAUACAUUAGACUCUUGAACAGAUGAUCAUCUUUACCUUUUUAAGUCUCUCAUUUUAACAGGGUUAAAGGAAAUGACUGGCAGUGAUAGAUCAAUGUAUCUUCCGGUCAAGUCCAGGAGAAAAAGAAAAUCGAGUUGACAUUAUGAAGGUAGUGAAAAAACCGAGUUUGUAGACAAUUUCUUCUUUACAAAUAAUAGUUGUAUAUACACAAGCAGGCUAGUCAUCAGAUUUUGUUGAAAAUGAGCAGUAUAGAAUAACCACUUAGGCUUUGUUUGAUGAUUUGUACACUGAGUCACAUAAUCACAAUUAGUGUAGAGGAUAAGAGACAAAGAUAUAAACAUUCCCAACUUUUAACCAGUGCAUUCAUUAAAGUAGUUGAGGACAGCUGGCCCUUGAGUCAAUUCUGAAGAAAUAAGAUUUUUUUCUCAGGGCAUGGAUUAAAGUCUACUUGUUCUACAUGAUCUGGUCUGGGAAUUCAUGAAUCAAAUCCCUCCUGAACAGACAAGUUGUCUUAAUGCCUGAGAGUACUUCAUGACAAGAAAUGAAGUCAGCCACUGUGAUUCAGUUAAAACAACAGAUGAAAUUCCAUGGAAACAUCCACAAGGACAAGGGACUGUGGUCUUGUGACAUUGGGAAGACUCAAGAAGCUUGAGCCUAUUGCUAAAACUCUUUAGCUGCAGGCUUUAUAGAUUUCCUUUCACGUUAGUCUACAUUUCCAGCAAAAAGGUAGAUACGGAAUUUGAGAUGCCCACCAAGUAAGCUAUCAAGGCCUGAUCCAAAGGCCUACCUCUAAAUAUCAUUAACAUCAACAACUGAUGGUAUCAGACAUCAAAAGAUUCAUCUUAAACUCUCUCAUUGGCUGGAAGAAAAUUUUUACAAUGGCCACAUUUUAAAUUACACACACAAGAAAAGGGUGUUCAGAGAUUGUCUCUUGUGGAUCAGGUAUUACAUGUAGAGCUGAGUACUAAUUUCUGAGCAGAACAGGCUACUACAGAUUUGAAAUGGAAAAAGAAUGGGGUCCAGAUUAGACAAUUCCUGAAUUUCAAUCAUUUGAGACAGUGGGGCAUGGUCCGAUAUGGUUCUCAAAAAGAUGCUGCCAUUCUUCAGACAGUGCUGAUAACUAAAAAUCCCCUGGUCCAAAUUUAUUAUGUGUCUCUGAAAGCUUUAACUGGAGAAACGAAAUGCACAUUUAUGGAACAAGCUGAACCUUUGUUGUGAUAAAACAGCUUCAGCUAUUUGGCUUGAGAAGUUGAACUUCACUACAAAAGGCUGUGUUGAAUCUGGGUAGAACAGGACAGGAGUGGAGGUGAAGGCCACAUCAUGAUUCGCUGGAUACGCCUCCUAGAUCACAGUGGUCCACUGGAAUGAUGUCUUCUUCAGCACUGAGGUGGCAGAAUCCAUCACCAUGGGCAAAAAUCCAGGUACCAGAUCUGUAGGCUGAUGGAAUAGCACAAAGGUGAUCAGAAGAUCCAGAUGAACACUCGGCAACCAGGAG